rnacentral:rRNA from 1 species
UACGUAGGGUGCAAGCGUUAAUCGGAAUUACUGGGCGUAAAGCGUGCGCAGGCGGUUUGUAAGUCUGACGUGAAAUCCCCGGGCUCAACCUGGGAAUUGCGUUGGAGACUGCAAGGCUAGAGUUUGGCAGAGGGGGGUAGAAUUCCACGUGUAGCAGUGAAAUGCGUAGAUAUGUGGAGGAACACCGAUGGCGAAGGCAGCCCCUGGGUCAAGACUGACGCUCAUGCACGAAAGCGUGGGGAGCAAACAGG